GCCAAACAGCUAGCUUCACCACACAACAACCAAAACAACAUUAAACUACACCACAUGACCACAAACCAUUAAACUAAAACAUUCUACCGCCAAAGUAUGUGAGACAGAAAAGGCACUAGAUAAAGCAAUAACAAAAGUACCGCAAGGGAACGCUGAAAGAAAAAUGAAAUAAAUUUCCAAAGCAACAAAAAGCAGAGAUUAAUCCUCGUACCUUUUGCAUCAUGAUUUAGCCAGCACUCACUGAGCAAAGAGGACUUUAGUUCAAAUCCCCGAAACUAAGUGAGCUACCCCAGGACAGCCUAUUUAAUUAGGGCCAACCCGUCUCUGUGGCAAAAGAGUGGGAAGAUCCCCGGGUAGAGGUGACAAACCUACCGAACUUAGUUAUAGCUGGUUGCCUAAGAAAUAAAUAGAAGUUUAGCCUCGCACUACCUUACCUCACACAUUUUAAUAAACGAGCUAGAGCAACAUGCGAGAGUUAGUCAAAAGGGGUACAGCCCUUUUGAAACAGGAUACAACCUAACCAGGAGGUUAAAGAUUAUACUAAACAAGACUAACCGUUUAAGUGGGCCUAAAAGCAGCCAUCCAAAAAGAAAGCGUUAAAGCUCUAACGGACAAACAUCUAUUAUUCAAAUAAUUAAUCUAAAACCCCUAACAAUAUUAGGCUAUUCCAUGCCACCAUGGAAACAAUACUGCUAAAAUGAGUAAUAAGAAGGAAUCCCCCUCUCCCAGCCCACGUGUACGCUAGAUCGGACCACCCACUAGCAAUUAUCGAACCCAACCAAAGAGGGUAAUGUGACCACAAUAAAUGUCAAGAAACACUCACAUAUCCAUAAUCGUUAACCCUACACUGGAGGGCCUAUAACCCAAGGGAAAGACUAAAAGAAAGGGAAGGAACUCGGCAAAUACAAGCCUCGCCUGUUUACCAAAAACAUCGCCUCCUGCAAAAAUCAACGUAUAGGAGGUCCUGCCUGCCCAGUGAUAAAUUAAACGCGCCGCGGUAUUUUGACCGUGCAAAGGUAGCGCAAUCACUUGUCUUUUAAAUGAAGACCCGUAUGAAUGGUGGAACGAGGGCUUAACUGUCUCCCCUCUCAAGUCAAUGAAAUUGAUCUAUCCGUGCAGAAGCGGACAUAAAAAUACAAGACGAGAAGACCCUUUGGAGCUUAAGAUAAAAAAUCAAUUAUGUCAAGAACCUCAAAACCAAGUUAAACCAAAUAUGCCUGAUUUUAUAUCUUCGGUUGGGGCGACCGCGGGAGAAAACAAAGCUCCCACGCGGACUGGGGCAAACCCCUAAAGCCAAGAAAGACAUUUCUAAGACACAAAACAUUUGACCAAAAGAUCCGGCGACCCGCCGAUCAACGAACCAAGUUACCCUAGGGAUAACAGCGCAAUCCCCUUCCAGAGUCCAUAUCGACAAGGGGGUUUACGACCUCGAUGUUGGAUCAGGACAUCCUAAUGGUGCAGCCGCUAUUAAGGGUUCGUUUGUUCAACGAUUAAAGUCCUACGUGAUCUGAGUUCAGACCGGAGCAAUCCAGGUCAGUUUCUAUCUGUACUGCCACUUUUCCUAGUACGAAAGGACCGGAAAAGCGGGGCCCAUAUUAACAAUACGCCCCACCCCAAAUUAAUGACUACAACUAAAUUAAACAAAGGGUAGAGCACAAACCACAUCAAGAUAAGAUU
rnacentral:rRNA from 1 species